rnacentral:lncRNA from 1 species
GUGUGGGUGUCGGGGACACGACUUGUGAGGCUAGGCGGGGCCCUGGUCCGGAGUCCAGUAGCCGUGGACCCCUCAUUCUCCUUUGCAGGAUUUUCGGCAGCUCUCCAGCGCCCCAUUCCCCCGAAUCUGGCUAUAUGGAGGGUGGGAGACACCUGUUGGUGGGCUGGAGCGGCAGAGCCCACCGGGGCCUCCCCGUUUGCGCCUCCGCCCGCCCUGCCCCGCUGGGGUCCCGCCCCCGUGGCCGCAGCCAGCAGAGCGGCGAGUGAGCGCACCGCGGCCAGAGGAGCGCACGGCGGCGGGAGCGCACGGCGGGGACCCGCGCAGGGAACCGGGCCGAGGCAGGGGCCGCCCGAGAGGCGUGCGGAGCAGAGGGAGAGCCGUGGAGACGCCGGGGGCAGCGGGCCGCGCCAGGCUGGUGAGUGCGGCCGCGGGGUGCGGGGAGCCAGAGAGCGGUGGAGACCCCGCCGUCCCCUGCCCGCGCGGUCCCGGCCCCGUCCCGGGCUCUGUCCCCGCCGCCCUCUAUCCCCGCGCCUCCUCGGCUCCAGUCCUCUGCGUCUCUGCCCCAUCUCUCCGUCUGUCCCCCUCUAUUCACUGUCUCGCCCUGUCUCUAAUCUCUCCUUUCUGUCUCUGUCUCCUGCUGCGUCGGUCUCUUCUUGUCUCUCUCAACCCCUGUCUCACUAUUUGUGUCUCUCGGCCUCUGUCUCUCUGUCUCUGUCCCUCUCUCUGGACUGCCUGUCACUCAGGUCUUUGAUAUUUCUCUCUUGUUCCUCUCUGUUUUACCUUCCCUGUCUCUCUAUCCAAUAUCUCUAUCAGUCUCACCUCUCCCCAUCUCUGUCUCUCCAUUCUUGUCUCUGUCUGAUAGUUCUGUCUCUCCCGGCUUCUGUCUCUCCUUGUCUCUUGGUCCCAUUUCCAUUUCUAUCUCCCUAUCUCUCUGUCAUUGUCUCUCUCUGCUGGAUCUCUCUCUCCUCCAUCUCUCUCUGUUUCUUGGUUCUUGUCACCCUUUUUGAUCCGCUC